rnacentral:sRNA from 1 species
AGCACCCGACGCUUUCCAGUUGUCCGGUGCUGUUCCCCUCUGGAGGUUUUUACCUUCAAAACUGUCGGCCGCGGAGAAAUCCAGCGGCCUUUUUU